ACGGCCAUGAACCUCGUCAGGUCCGGAAGGAAGCAGCGAUAAGUGAUCCCUUCUGUGUCGUGGAUCGAUCCCGGUCAUG
rnacentral:SRP_RNA from 1 species